rnacentral:rRNA from 1 species
UUGGUGCUUGCAUCAUGAUUUACAUUUGAGUGAGUGGCGAACUGGUGAGUAACACGUGGGAAACCUGCCCAGAAGCGGGGGAUAACACCUGGAAACAGAUGCUAAUACCGCAUAACAACUUGGACCGCAUGGUCCGAGCUUGAAAGAUGGCUUCGGCUAUCACUUUUGGAUGGUCCCGCGGCGUAUUAGCUAGAUGGUGGGGUAACGGCUCACCAUGGCAAUGAUACGUAGCCGACCUGAGAGGGUAAUCGGCCACAUUGGGACUGAGACACGGCCAAAACUCCUACGGGAGGCAGCAGUAGGGAAUCUUCCACAAUGGACGAAAGUCUGAUGGAGCAACGCCGCGUGAGUGAAGAAGGGUUUCGGCUCGUAAAACUCUGUUGUUAAAGAAGAACAUAUCUGAGAGUAACUGUUCAGGUAUUGACGGUAUUUAACCAGAAAGCCACGGCUAACUACGUGCCAGCAGCCGCGGUAAUACGUAGGUGGCAAGCGUUGUCCGGAUUUAUUGGGCGUAAAGCGAGCGCAGGCGGUUUUUUAAGUCUGAUGUGAAAGCCUUCGGCUCAACCGAAGAAGUGCAUCGGAACUGGGAAACUUGAGUGCAGAAGAGGACAGUGGAACUCCAUGUGUAGCGGUGAAAUGCGUAGAUAUAUGGAAGAACACCAG